UUGCACGCUGGCGGCAGGCCUAACACAUGCACGUCGAACGGUAACAGAAAGCAGCUUGCUGCUUUGCUGACGAGUGGCGGACGGGUGAGUAAUGUCUGGGAAACUGCCUGAUGGAGGGGGAUAACUACUGGAAACGGUAGCUAAUACCGCAUAACGUCGCAAGACCAAAGAGGGGGACCUUCGGGCCUCUUGCCAUCGGAUGUGCCCAGAUGGGAUUAGCUAGUAGGUGGGGUAAAGGCUCACCUAGGCGACGAUCCCUAGCUGGUCUGAGAGGAUGACCAGCCACACUGGAACUGAGACACGGUCCAGACUCCUACGGGAGGCAGCAGUGGGGAAUAUUGCACAAUGGGCGCAAGCCUGAUGCAGCCAUGCCGCGUGUAUGAAGAAGGCCUUCGGGUUGUAAAGUACUUUCAGCGGGGAGGAAGGGAGUAAAGUUAAUACCUUUGCUCAUUGACGUUACCCGCAGAAGAAGCACCGGCUAACUCCGUG
rnacentral:rRNA from 1 species